UAUGGUGCAAGCGUUAUCCGGAUUUACUGGGUGUAAAGGGAGCGCAGGCGGCACGCUAAGCCUGAUGUGAAAACCCGCGGCCCAACCGCGGGAGUGCAUUGGGAACUGGCGGGCUGGAGUGCCGGAGGGGUAGGCGGAAUUCCUAGUGUAGCGGUGAAAUGCGUAGAUAUUAGGAGGUACACCAGUGGCGAAGGCGGCCUACUGGACGGUGACUGACGCUGAGGCUCGAAAGCGUGGGGAGCAAA
rnacentral:rRNA from 1 species